rnacentral:rRNA from 1 species
GGUUAAGCGACUAAGCGUACACGGUGGAUGCCCUGGCAGUCAGAGGCGAUGAAGGACGUGCUAAUCUGCGAAAAGCGUCGGUAAGGUGAUAUGAACCGUUAUAACCGGCGAUGUCCGAAUGGGGAAACCCAGUGUGUUUCGACACACUAUCAUUAACUGAAUCCAUAGGUUAAUGAGGCGAACCGGGGGAACUGAAACAUCUAAGUACCCCGAGGAAAAGAAAUCAACCGAGAUUCCCCCAGUAGCGGCGAGCGAACGGGGAGGAGCCCAGAGCCUGAAUCAGUGUGUGUGUUAGUGGAAGCGUCUGGAAAGGCGCGCGAUACAGGGUGACAGCCCCGUACACAAAAAUGCACAUGCUGUGAGCUCGAUGAGUAGGGCGGGACACGUGGUAUCCUGUCUGAAUAUGGGGGGACCAUCCUCCAAGGCUAAAUACUCCUGACUGACCGAUAGUGAACCAGUACCGUGAGGGAAAGGCGAAAAGAACCCCGGCGAGGGGAGUGAAAAAGAACCUGAAACCGUGUACGUACAAGCAGUGGGAGCCCUGAUUUAUCAGGGUGACUGCGUACCUUUUGUAUAAUGGGUCAGCGACUUAUAUUCUGUAGCAAGGUUAACCGAAUAGGGGAGCCGGAGGGAAACCGAGUCUUAACUGGGCGUUAAGUUGCAGGGUAUAGACCCGAAACCCGGUGAUCUAGCCAUGGGCAGGUUGAAGGUUGGGUAACACUAACUGGAGGACCGAACCGACUAAUGUUGAAAAAUUAGCGGAUGACUUGUGGCUGGGGGUGAAAGGCCAAUCAAACCGGGAGAUAGCUGGUUCUCCCCGAAAGCUAUUUAGGUAGCGCCUCGUGAAUUCAUCUCCGGGGGUAGAGCACUGUUUCGGCAAGGGGGUCAUCCCGACUUACCAACCCGAUGCAAACUGCGAAUACCGGAGAAUGUUAUCACGGGAGACACACGGCGGGUGCUAACGUCCGUCGUGAAGAGGGAAACAACCCAGACCGCCAGCUAAGGUCCCAAAGUCAUGGUUAAGUGGGAAACGAUGUGGGAAGGCCCAGACAGCCAGGAUGUUGGCUUAGAAGCAGCCAUCAUUUAAAGAAAGCGUAAUAGCUCACUGGUCGAGUCGGCCUGCGCGGAAGAUGUAACGGGGCUAAACCAUGCACCGAAGCUGCGGCAGCGACGCUGAUGCGUUGUUGGGUAGGGGAGCGUUCUGUAAGCCUGUGAAGGUGUGCUGUGAGGCAUGCUGGAGGUAUCAGAAGUGCGAAUGCUGACAUAAGUAACGAUAAAGCGGGUGAAAAGCCCGCUCGCCGGAAGACCAAGGGUUCCUGUCCAACGUUAAUCGGGGCAGGGUGAGUCGACCCCUAAGGCGAGGCCGAAAGGCGUAGUCGAUGGGAAACAGGUUAAUAUUCCUGUACUUGGUGUUACUGCGAAGGGGGGACGGAGAAGGCUAUGUUGGCCGGGCGACGGUUGUCCCGGUUUAAGCGUGUAGGCUGGUUUUCCAGGCAAAUCCGGAGAAUCAAGGCUGAGGCGUGAUGACGAGGCACUACGGUGCUGAAGCAACAAAUGCCCUGCUUCCAGGAAAAGCCUCUAAGCAUCAGGUAACAUCAAAUCGUACCCCAAACCGACACAGGUG